rnacentral:rRNA from 1 species
GUCGAGCGGAAUGACGAGAGCUUGCUCUCUGAUUUUAGCGGCGGACGGGUGAGUAACACGUGGGCAACCUGCCCUACAGAUGGGGAUAACUCCGGGAAACCGGGGCUAAUACCGAAUAAUCAGUUUGUCCGCAUGGACAAACUCUGAAAGACGGUUUCGGCUGUCACUGUAGGAUGGGCCCGCGGCGCAUUAGCUAGUUGGUGGGGUAAUGGCCUACCAAGGCAACGAUGCGUAGCCGACCUGAGAGGGUGAUCGGCCACACUGGGACUGAGACACGGCCCAGACUCCUACGGGAGGCAGCAGUAGGGAAUCUUCCACAAUGGACGAAAGUCUGAUGGAGCAAUGCCGCGUGAGCGAAGAAGGUUUUCGGAUCGUAAAGCUCUGUUGUAAGGGAAGAACACGUACGGGAGUAACUGCCCGUGCCAUGACGGUACCUUAUUAGAAAGCCACGGCUAACUACGUGCCAGCAGCCGCGGUAAUACGUAGGUGGCAAGCGUUGUCCGGAAUUAUUGGGCGUAAAGCGCGCGCAGGCGGUUCUUUAAGUCUGAUGUGAAAGCCCACGGCUCAACCGUGGAGGGUCAUUGGAAACUGGAGAACUUGAGUACAGAAGAGGAAAGCGGAAUUCCACGUGUAGCGGUGAAAUGCGUAGAGAUGUGGAGGA